rnacentral:lncRNA from 10 species
CUCAAAAAAAAAAAAAAAAAGAAGAAAAUCUUGCAUCAACACUCCUACGCAAAUGUCUCUGCGAUUCAUUCAAUAACUGGUCAUCAACCUCCACCCCCAAACACAACUGUCAGGUCUAUGUCGUUCCCAAGUAGGCAGGUCGGUGACCCUCACGAGGAAAGGGAGUGUGUGGGCCUGUCUGUCUCCAAGGCCUCGCCACACAACAGUCCCUCAGCGGUUUCGCUGUUAUGCGAGGUCUUUACCCCGGGAUGUUCCGGGGAGUCAAUCCCUCCCCGCCCUAGGCUACGCCGGGAACGGCCGGCAGCUGAUCCGAACUUUCUGCCGGGCCUCCUUUCUCAUUCCUCGGGUUCGGCAGUACCACACCCGCCACGCGAUUGGUAUCGUAGGAGGGCCUUGUUUGACCACGGCGACUCGUUACUUAUGGGUGAGGAUUUACGCGCGUCCUUCCGGAGGCCACACAUCACUUCCCUUGCUCCGCCCAGUUUAGAGACCUGCGCACCCGCCAGGGCGUGAGAGAGACUACCCGGCGCGCGGUGACGCCCCAGCUCGCCCACACUUCUGCCCCGUCCCGCCCAUCGUUGCGCGGCCGCGGGCCAAUCAGAUCGUGCCUUUACUCUACGCCCCCGGCUCCCCCGAACUUCUGUCCUCAUUUCAGGGCGACUUUGGGAACACAAUAGUCGACUCGCCGACGUUCCCUUAGACGCGUUGCCAUACGUCGUCACCCAUAGAAACGGCUUUCCGCGGGGCAGACUCCAAGUCUCGCCUGUGUGAGCGGGCAGGGGUAGCAGGAAAGGCUGUUUUUCAUUUCCAAGAGAAAACCGUCACCCCGCCCACCUCGAACCUCCUCCCAACAUCUCAGGAUAGAAACGCCGCGCUCAGAAAGAUACAAGUCUUCUCAUUGGAAAUGUUAACCAAGAUGAAUGAAAUGGAAACCAACACCUGGACAUGUCAUGGUGAAAUGUUAGAACACUGGGCACGAAGGUAAAAUCCUAAAAGCUUCCAAAGAGAUAAACAGGUUAAGCUCAAAGGAAUGGGAAUCAGUGUGGCAUCAGGUUUCUCAUUGGCAUCAUUGCUGGAAGACAACAAUCUGAGGAAAAAUCAGACUGAGAAAAACUAUCUUUCAAGUGAGAGUGCAAAAUAUGGUUAUUUUUGUAUAUCCAAAGAUUCUGAAAUUGUACCAUCCACAGAUCUUUACUGAAAUAAUCAUGUGGGGUUGAACUCUAGCAAUGUGAACAAUGAAUCCAAGAAAAAAGGAGACAUGGGAUUCAGGAACUAAUGUGAGGGGCACAUGAGGUAGGCUUGAGGCCCUGUAUUCUGUGUGACUUCUAAUUACCCGGUAUCCAGGAGAUCUGAGGCUGUAUCCCACCAGGACCCAUUCCAAUCCCAGAUGGUACUUAGGAGUUUCAUCAACAACAAGCUUCUCUUCAAUAAAGAUUAUCAGAAGUUUUGUUGGCUACAAAGGACUCAUCCAACUUAGAACUAAACUCUGGAAUAUGGCUUUAUUCUAUUGUUUCUCUCUUUUUUAUUUUUUAGUUUAUUAUUUUUUUUGAAACAGGGUCCCACUCCUGUCAUCCAGGCUGGAGUGCAGUGGCGCCAUCAUGGCUCACUGCAGGCUGGAAUUCCCAGGCUCAGGUGAUCCUCCCACCUCAGCCUCCCAAGUAGCUGUGACUACAGGCCUGUGCCACCACGCCCAGCUAAUUUUUUUGUGUUUGUUGUGGAGACAUAGAGAUGGCGUUUUGCCAUGUUGCCCAGGCUGGUCUCAAACUCCUAGACUCAGGUGAAGUGUGAGCCGCCUCUCCUGGCCUAUUCUUUUGUCUCUUAAAGGAUUAAAAUUAAGGAGGUCACAUUUGCCAUGAAAAGUUCAUGAUAUUUUGUUCAUCACUGCAUUUUGCCUUUGAAUGAAAAAGUUUGUUCUUUCUCAGAGAGGCACAUAAAGAUCGGAACUGGUAUAGCAAAGCAGCCUGUGAAGUCAAACUAGUGUGGGUUUGAAUUAUGACUCUGUGAUUUCCUCUUGAG